UACGUAUGGAGCAAGCGUUAUCCGGAUUUACUGGGUGUAAAGGGAGCGUAGGCGGUCUUAUAAGUCUGAUGUGAAAACCCCGGGCUCAACCUGGGGCCUGCAUUGGAAACUGUAGGACUAGAGUGUCGGAGAGGCAAGUGGAAUUCCCGGUGUAGCGGUGAAAUGCAUAGAUAUCGGGAGGAACACCAGUGGCGAAGGCGGCUUGCUGGACGAUAACUGACGCUGAGACUCGAAAGCGUGGGGAG
rnacentral:rRNA from 1 species